CUCUCUGGUGAAUCAUGAUAACUAGUCGAAUCGACAGGCCUUGUGCCGGCGAUGGCUCAUUCAAAUUUCUUCCCUAUCAACUUUCGAUGUUUGGGUCUUGUCCAAACAUGGUGGCAACGGGUAACGGAGGGUUAGGGCUCGACCCCGGAGAAGGAGCCUGAGAAACGGCUACUACAUCCAAGGAAGGCAGCAGGCGCGCAAAUUACCCAAUCCCGACACGGGGAGGUAGUGACAAUAAAUACUGAUACAGGGCUCUUUUGGGUCUUGUAAUCGGAAUGAGUACAAUUUAAAUCCCUUAACGAGGAACAAUUGGAGGGCAAGUCUGGUGCCAGCAGCCGCGGUAAUUCCAGCUCCAAUAGCGUAUAUUAAAGUUGUUGUGGUUAAAAAGCUCGUAGUUGAACCUUGGGCCUGGCUGGCCGGUCCGCCUCACCGCGUGCACUGGUCCGGCCGGGCCUUUCCCUCUGCGGAACCCCAUGCCCUUCACUGGGUGUGGCGGGGAACCAGGACUUUUACA
rnacentral:rRNA from 1 species